GAUGAACGCUGGCGGCGUGCCUAAUACAUGCAAGUCGAGCGAAUGGAUUAAGAGCUUGCUCUUAUGAAGUUAGCGGCGGACGGGUGAGUAACACGUGGGUAACCUGCCCAUAAGACUGGGAUAACUCCGGGAAACCGGGGCUAAUACCGGAUAACAUUUUGAACCGCAUGGUUCGAAAUUGAAAGGCGGCUUCGGCUGUCACUUCUGGGUGGACCCGCGUCGCAUUAGCUAGUUGGUGAGGUAACGGCGCACCAAGGCAACGAUGCGGAGCCGGCCUGAGGGGGUGAUCGGCCACACUGGGACUGAGACACGGCCCAGACUCCUACGGGAGGCAGCAGUAGGGAAUCUUCCGCAAUGGACGAAAGUCUGACGGAGCAACGCCGCGUGAGUGAUGAAGGCUUUCGGGUCGUAAAACUCUGUUGUUAGGGAAGAACAAGUGCUAGUUGAAUAAGCUGGCACCUUGACGGUACCUAACCAGAAAGCCACGGCUAACUACGUGCCAGCCGCCGCCGUAA
rnacentral:rRNA from 1 species